GGGAACCAAAUUUAACAUUUUUAAAACAAAAGGGGGACUGAAACGAACUUUAUUGCACGAACUCAGAUUGUUUAUCCAUAUUACAACACGCCUGAUAUUACAUGAACAAAACAUGAAGCUAAACACCUAAGCCAUUACAUGAACAAAACAUACAUUGCACACCUAACAUCAAACUAAACACAGCCACAAUAAGAGCAAACACAACUCCAACUAAGAACUUUAUACUUCUCUGCAACUCUUUAACAUCAUUUUCGAGAUCACAUAUCCUGUUGCUUUGCCUCAGACUUGUACCAUCUCUGUCAUCAGCGUUGUCAUCCUAUUUGAAAAUCCACCCUAUUAUUCACCAAG
rnacentral:lncRNA from 1 species